AGUAAAACUUGGACAUGGAGUUCAGAAUGGGGGAAGAAAACGAGUCCAUACUCAAAUGCCAUUGAUUCAUUCUCAUAGAAUUAUAGCAACAUAGAAAGACAACGAAGCUCUUCCUCGACUAUCUCUUACAUGUCUGGAACUUUUAUUUUGUUGGUAACUGUGGGUGUUUGGGCCAGUUUGCACGUAGCGUGACUAAUCCCAUGGGCCUUGAACAUAACAGCCAGAAAAAUCCCCACUGGGGUCGAGGAUACUCAAGGUCUGGCCUUUAUUUGCCAGUUAAGCCAGCUUGCAAUUCCCAAUUGGUUGUGGAAUGCCCUUGGUAAAAAGCCAGCUUCGUGUGAGCACUGAAAGAAAAUAUGGAAACUCUUCCUAACGAAGACCUUGAAUGCUUCAUCAAGCUAUAAAUCGAGCGAGAAUUAUGGAGAACAACUUUAUAGAAGACCAAAAACUGAGUGAAAUCUGAACAAUUUCGAGAUAAGAUUUCUUUUGUCAGCCUUCUCUUUUCUUCGUUUUUGUGCAUAUCAUUAGCUAUAACCUUUGCAUAUCUCAAUAUAAAAUUUAACCUGAAUCC